CAGAAAGACAUUUUAUAGAAGUUCAACCAAAGUUGUGCAGCAAUUUUACGAUGAAGUACGUUAUUAUCUUAGCACUGUGUGCGUUGUUCAUGGUUGGUGUAUGUUACGCUGACGGAGAAGUCUCGAAGGUGGAUUUAUUAGAGGAAUUUGAAGAAUAUCUAAAGGCACGCGACGCCGCCAGUACAGACGAUGAGAAUAUACCAAACAAGAGAGGUUGUUAUUACUGGAAGGGUAGCCUGCGUGGAAACUGUUAACCGUCUCAUGGAUAUCUCGCCUAUUAUACGUAUUCAAUGAUAAAAAACGUUCGGAUUAGUAAUUAUUGUGAAAUUGAUGAUUCCAUUUUCAUUUUCGCAAGAAAUAUACUCACUGACUUGCUAUGCUAUAUCAAUAUUCAGGGUUGCAUGCUUUUUUGUUUCAUGUAAUGAUGUAAGUCUU